UGUGUAGGCGGAUUUGUAAGUACCUUGUGAAAUCCCACGGCUCAACCGUGGAACUGCUCGGUAUACUGCUUAUCUUGGGCCAUCUAGGGGCUACCGGAACAAGUGGUGGAGCGGUGAAAUGCGUAGAUAUCACUUGGAACGCCAAUGGUGAAAACAGGUAGCUGGGGAUGUGCCGACGCUGAGACACGAAAGCCAGGGAGCAACG
rnacentral:rRNA from 1 species